UAGCUUGCUAGAUGCUGACGAGUGGCGCACGGGUGCGUAACGCGUAUACAAUCUACCUUUAACUGUGGGAUAGCCCAGAGAAAUUUGGAUUAAUACCUCAUAGUAUUAUAAUUAGGCAUCUUUUUAUAAUUAAAACUUCGGUGGUUAAAGAUGAGUAUGCGUACUAUUAGCUAGUUGGUAAGGUAAAAGCUUACCAAGGCAACGAUAGUUAGGGGGCCUGAAUGGGUGAUCCCCCACACUGGUACUGAGACACGGACCAGACUCCUACGGGAGGCAGCAGUGAGGAAUAUUGCACAAUGGAGGAAACUCUGAUGCAGCCAUGCCGCGUGCAGGAAGAAUGCCCUAUGGGUUGUAAACUGCUUUUAUACAAGAAGAAACCUCGGUACGUGUACCGACUUGACGGUAUUGUAUGAAUAAGCACCGGCUAACUCCGUGCCAGCAGCCGCGGUAAUACGGAGGGUGCAAGCGUUAUCCGGAUUUAUUAGGUUUAAAGGGUCCGCAGGCGGAAUAUUAAGUCAG
rnacentral:rRNA from 1 species